UUAACUUAGUGGCGGACGGGUGAGUAACGCGUGGAUAACCUGCCGUGUACAGGGGGAUAACACUUAGAAAUAGGUGCUAAUACCGCAUAAGCGCACAACUUCGCAUGAAGGAGUGUGAAAAGCCGAGACGGUACACGAUGGAUCCGCGUCCGAUUAGCCAGUUGGCGGGGUAGAGGCCCACCAAAGCGACGAUCGGUAGCCGGCCUGAGAGGGUGACCGGCCACAUUGGGACUGAGACACGGCCCAAACUCCUACGGAAGGCAGCAG
rnacentral:rRNA from 1 species